rnacentral:lncRNA from 1 species
CUCCCCUUUCUUUUCCGUGCCGGUGUGCACGCUCGUCGGCGACCGGAGUCGCCGGAUUUUAUUGCGGAAGAACCUCUGUUUUUGUCCAUUUUUCUUCGAUUUUUUCGAUGUCGGUGGUCACCGCCGACCAUCGGUUUGGCUUUCCUCCUGCCGACGGCCGCUUCCCGUCGGUUGCACUGCCGGUCGGCCAGCCAAUAGGGAAUUGUGAGAUCUCCUGUUUCGGCCC